CUUUGGUGUUAGAGUUGCACAGCAGUGCAAAACCUCAGGUUUAAAUUAGACACAAUGAUUAUCUGUGAAAUGAUUCUUCAUUAGCUUAGUCUGUAGUGAACAAUGGAUACGAUUUACUUGACCUAUAAAAUAAGAUUUACAGAGGUUAUGUUGAAGACUAGUGUAUUUACCUUUUAGAGGCCCUGCUGUCUGGUCUCCUUUGUUCCUUGGGGGGAACAAAGAAAGCCUCUCUCUCAAUCUUUUCUGGUGUUUGUGUAUGAGAAGGAAUGAAGGAUACAUCCAGUUGAAAGGAGGGGCAACUUGCUGACACUGUGCAUUUUCAGGAAUGAGAGAGUGAAGUUGAUCAGCUCUAACAAUAGAAGUCAGUGUGGUCGGGGCAGUGGAAAUAACUGGGAGAGCAGUUGAUUGUUUCCUUCGCCUCUGAGACAUCUGUUUUGUGCACUGUAUAUUUUUGUAAAUAUAUAGCACUUGGAAUUAACAUCACUACCAGGAGGGCAACAACCAUGCCUGCCUCAUAUAUUUGUUUCAGAAUACACAGUAAAAAGUGGGGAAAGGAAAGCCCCUGAAGCCCCAAUAUAAGAGUGGCAGAUGUUCUUGAUCAUCUCUUUGAUAAUGUGCCUGCGUUAGACAGUCAUCGCUAUAGUAACCUUAAGCAACUUGUUGCUAGGCAAUGAAAUGCUGUAGGCUCAAACUAAUGCUCAAAUCUAUUGAAAUCAAUAGGGUUAGCUUCUAGCCCUAUUGCAGGAUGUCAGAUUAUUUAUUUAUUUAUUUAUUUUAAGGCCAAAAAAAAAAAAAAAAAAGCCACAGCAGCUUCUCCCGAGAGAGCUAGUACAGUAAUUCCUCUGGUGUGACAAAGAUUCUUUUGAAAGAAAGCAAGGUAACAAAUGAAAAGGGAAAUGGGAGGGUGAAAUGCUAGUAAACAAGGAAAUUGGAAGUCGUUGUUAAUGAAAACGUAGUAUUGGAAAAGAGCUGGGAUAAAGCAAGAAGUAAAUGGGAAAGGUGAAAGACAUUCUGACUGCUUCAGGGAACAAGGAGGGAAAGAGAAUUUCCGGUCCAGCAAUAGUAGAUCAUAGCAGAGAGAGAUUUUUAAUGUAUUUGCAUUUGUUUUGUGUUGUGUUUUUUGAAACACGAAUGCAGAGCCUCUGAAAGAUGCCAAGCUGAUCAAACUGAACCCCUCUAAUUGUCCAAAGCAAACAUGCAGAGGGUGAGCAGAUGCUGUGAAGGGUUCCUCUUCCUGUCCUGCCUAUAUACCUCUGCUGUGACCUGGAGAGGGCCAUGUCUUUAAGGGGGGAUAGAGUAGUUUAGUCUCAGGUACCUAAUAGUUAGAUCUCUCUGCUGUGAUUGCCAGCAAGGUGACAGUUACCAUCCGUGAUGAUCUCUGUGUUGCAGAAUUCUGUUUAUUGUGAACUAAUGAGCCCACCAACUCAUUUCAUGACUGGCAAAUAACUUUCAGUCAUUACAAACAGGGACUAGAUUUGAACCAGUGACUUAAGCUGACCACUUCUUAGCCCUGGUCUACACUACAAACUUACGUUGGUAUAAACAUGUUGCUCAGGGGGGGUAGAAGAUCCACACCCUGAGCAACGCAGUUAUGCUGAUCGAACCGCCGGUGUAGACAGUGCUGCCUCAGCAGGAGGGCUUCUCCCAUCAACACUACUGCCACCUUUCGUGGAUGUGGAGUACCUACGUUGAUGGGAGAGCGUAGGUAGCAUC